UACGGAGGGUGCAAGCAUUAAUCGGAUUUAUUGGGCGUAAAGAGCGCGUAGGCGGAAAUGAAAGUCGGAUGUGAAAUUCUUGGGCUCAACCUAAGAACUGCAUUCGAAACUCCAUUCCUAGAGGAUAGAAGGAGAAAACGGAAUUCCACAAGUAGCGGUGAAAUGCGUAGAUAUGUGGAAGAACACCGGUGGCGAAGGCGGUUUUCUAUUUUAUUCCUGACGCUCAAGCGCGAAAGCAAGGGGAUCAAACAGG
rnacentral:rRNA from 1 species